GUCAUGGGGACAGUAUGAAUCCUCAACAUGUGAUGAAAAUGACACUUCACCUUUGUGGUUUUUGUUCCCUGAAACCUUAAGGCCAAGCUGAUCUGGAGAAAAAAUAUUAAACCAAUCCCAAACGAGGGACAUCUUACAAAAAACCUGGCCAGUACUUCUCAAAACUUUAAGGUCAUCGAAAAGAUGCAAAAUCUAAAAGACUUUUUCACUCUUAGCAGCGUGGCCCUGGUUUCUGGCUUGAAACUCGGAUAUGGAAAUAGUCUAGAAAGGUUUGUCAACAGGUACCUUUGCGGGAAGAGUGCUUUGAAGGACUGAAUACAAAGGGCAAGUCUUCUUCCUGUCUGAUGACAAUGAAUUGAUAAUGAAGGAGCUUCAGGGAGAUGUGUACUUUGCCCAAGGUCCUCCAGAAGAAUUCAACUUGUAGUGUGGGAUCAUUGUGAGGAAUCAGAAAAGAACUUAUGGCACGGUUCGGGCUUGAACGGGACAUGAAAACAGUCAAGCAGGGUUUGGAUUAGCGUGUGCUCGGUGUCCUAGCUCCAUUUUACAGCCGAGGAAACGAGGGCUUAGCCCGGGAGAAACGCCCUGGCUUGAGAGAGCCACGAAGCCACACUCUAACUCCAAGCCAACUGUCCCCAUCUUUUCUGCUUUCCAGUCUUGGUCCCUCUGCCUGGAAUGACUUCCUCUGACACUCUCCUGUCUUAUUUCUUUACCUCCACCCUAAGUUGUUCACACCCACAUUCCCCAUUUAAAAUUCCUUGCACCCUCAUUUCUAUUUCCAUCGCACUUGCUUUCACACCCCCUGCCCCUACUGACGCCACUCUGUCUUAAUUACCUAUUUCUCUGACUUACGCUUGUUAACUUUCUGGACGUCAAAAUGAUGACUUCGCCACCCCUGUGACGUCAACCCCUGCCACAGAAAGUGCUCCAAGAAAACCUGUGACGUUGAACGACCUGACAGCAGGAAGGGACUGACUGAUUUUCAAAGAGGAAGGCAGAUGUUGAAACCUCUGGAACCCCGGGCGUGUGGGAGUAUGUUCCACGGCUCAGGAACAUACUCGCCAGAUGCCGUCCGCCCGACAUGGCCUCUGCUUCUCAGGACAUCUUGUCCAACGUUACGGUCAGAAAAACUCUGCUGGCAAACUGGGGGUCAGAACCCUUCCUCCAGCGGGCCCCGCAGCCUACAGGAAGGCCCAGAACGUUUAUCGGGCCUUAGGCUGCACCUGACACGUACGUGGUCGGCCACGCCGUAACCAGGAGAACCGCGCGUGGCUGCUCUUCUCUGCCCGUCCCUGGCUGGCUGCAGAGUUACAAGCUCUUGUGGGGAAGUUCUCACACUACUUGCAACAUUAUUUGCCUUGCUUGUUGUCUUCCCAAAGCCCAUUAAAAGGAUCUGAAAAGAAACCACCCAUUUUCUCCUUUUGUUUCCCCUGAAUAAGCUCCAUUAUGGCCACGCACUAAUACACCAUCAGGGACCCCUGGAAGAAAAAGCCAGUGAGUGGAUGCUGACAACGGAGGGAGCAGCUCAGCGGGAGAAAGGUGGUGGAGCUCAUGGCAACGAAAGCAGAGAGACUCAUUUCCCAGCAAAGUCCCCUAGGAUCCUCUGCCCGGGAAGUGGGGUACAUGUGUCACGUACCAAUGCCCGGGUUUUUAUUACACCAGAAGGAAGGAAGGGAAGGUGACUUCUGUUCUGACAGUUUGGUGGUAGAAUGUCCUGAGAAGGCAAGGGCCUUCUACUGAAAUUUAAUCCCAAGAAAGUUUUUCUUUUUUUUUUUUAAUUGAAAAUGUCUAUAAUUUGGGCCAGUAGGAAAAUAAAUAUGCUGUCAAUUU